rfam:Halomonas desiderata SP1 contig_45, whole genome shotgun sequence.
CGGCAAGAUGUGUGUUGUACCGGUACAGGCUUCGCCUUCCCCGGUCCACCACCUCUCCUUACUCGCCUGCGGCUCGACGGCAUCUUGCUCUCCGAGGGU